AGUGCUGAUGGUCCUAGGGAUGUUCAUGUUGCUGAUAUGGACGGCGAUGGCGAUUUAGAUAUUGUCUCAGCUUCUAAUGUCGACAGCACCA
rnacentral:tRNA from 1 species